AUGUGGGUGUCAUUGUGGGAGACUACUAUAGACCUCCCAGCCAGGACGAUGAUGCCAAUAAAUAAUUCUUUGAGGAACUGAGGGACACUUCCAAGUCAAGUGCCCUUGUCCUUGUAGGGAACUUCAACUUGCCAGAAAUUAACUGGGUGUGUCACACAGCUGGUACAACCCAGGCCAGAAGAUUCCUAAAAAACCUGGAUGACAACUUUAUGGAACAGAUCCUAAGGGAGCCGACUCAGAAAGAUGCCCUCCUUGAUCUGCUGCCUGUCAACAGGGUGGAUCUUGUGAGCAAAGUGGAGAUUGGUGGUCGUCUUGGCCACAGCAACCACAAAGCAAUCGAGUUUAAAACUCUGUUGACAGGAGGAAAAGUGCCAGCAAAACCUCAACUCCAGACAUGAGGAGAGCAGACUUCAGGCUGCUCAGGGAAUUAGUAAGGUCCCCUGUGAAAAUCUUUUUGCAGGUACUGGGAUCCGUCAGUGCUGGUCACCUUUCAAGCAUCACCUCCUAAGGACACAGGAGCAGCAAUACCCAAAUGUCAGAAGUCAAGCAGAGUCUGACACUGGGGAUAUCUGGCAAUCAGCUUACACAUUCAUUGGUUUGCAUAAGGGGAGGAGACAGGACUGCACAGUGGCAACAACUAUGCAAACAACUCAUUUCACUCUAGCUCCCCCAGAAUCCCACAUCCUCUGCAGCUGCAGAAGAAUUCAAACAGGC